UUCGGCCAAAUCACGUUGAAACACCAAUUCUCGUCAGAUCACCGUAGUUAAGGAAUGUUGAGCCUGGUGGUAUUUAGAUGGGUUCCCGCUUGGGAAUAUCGAGUGAGGU